rnacentral:rRNA from 1 species
AACGAACGCUGGCGGCAGGCCUAACACAUGCAAGUCGAGCGCGUAGCAAUACGAGCGGCGCACGGGAUAGUAACGCGUGGGAACCUACCUUUCGGUUCGGAAUAACAUCGGGAAACUGGUGCUAAUACCGGAUACGCCCUUCGGGGGAAAGGUUUAUUGCCGAUAGAUGGGCCCGCGUUGGAUUAGCUAGUUGGUGGGGUAACGGCUCACCAAGGCAACGAUCCAUAGCUGGUCUGAGAGGAGGGUCAGCAUCACUGGGACUGAGACACGGCCCGGCGGCCUACGGGAGGCAGCAGUGGGGAAUAUUGGACAAUGGGGGCAACCCCGAUCCAACCAUGGCGCGUGAAUGAUGAAGGCCUUCUGGUUGUAAAGUUCUUGUUCGGGCGACGAUGGUGACGGUACCCACUGAGUCAGCUCCGGCUAACUUCGUGCCAGCCGCCGCCGUAA